rnacentral:rRNA from 1 species
GGGGGCUAAGCGGAAGAAAUUCCGUCUAAUACCGCGUAACAACCCAUGGAGGCAUCUCCGUGGGUUUAAAGGAAGCGAUUCCGGCUACGGAUGGUCAUGCGUCGCAUUAGCUUGUUGGCGGGGUAACGGCCCACCAAGGCGACGAUGCGUAGGGGUUCUGAGAGGAAGGUCCCCCACACUGGUACUGAGACACGGACCAGACUCCUACGGGAGGCAGCAGUGAGGAAUAUUGGUCAAUGGCCGCAGGGCUGAACCAGCCAAGUCGCGUGAGGGAUGACGGUCCUAUGGAUUGUAAACCUCUUUUGUCAGGGAGCAAAGGGCGCCACGUGUGGCGUUUUGCGAGUACCUGAAGAAAAAGCAUCGGCUAACUCCGUGCCAGCAGCCGCGGUAAUACGGAGGAUGCGAGCGUUAUCCGGAUUUAUUGGGUUUAAAGGGUGCGCAGGCGGAAUGUCAAGUCAGCGGUAAAAUUUCGGGGCUCAACCCCGUCGUGCCGUUGAAACUGGCGUUCUUGAGUGAAGUAGAGGCAAGCGGAAUUCCUAGUGUAGCGGUGAAAUGCGUAGAUAUUAGGAGGAACACCAGUGGCGAAGGCGGCUUGCUGGGCUUUAACUGACGCUGAAGCACGAAAGCGUGGGUAGCAAACAGGAUUAGAUACCCUGGUAGUCCACGCCGUAAAC